UACGUAGGGGGCUAGCGUUGUCCGGAUUUAUUGGGCGUAAAGAGCGUGUAGGCGGCCGCACAGGUCCGUUGUGAAAACUGGAGGCUUAACCUUCAGACGUCGAUGGAAACCGUGCGGCUAGAGUCCGGAAGAGGAGAAUGGAGUUCCUGGUGUAGCGGUGAAAUGCGCAGAUAUCAGGAAGAACACCCGUGGCUAAGGCGGUUCUCUAGUACGGUACUGACGCUGAGACGCGAAAGCGUGGGGAGCGAACAGG
rnacentral:rRNA from 1 species